GACGAACGCUGGCGGCGUGCCUAAUACAUGCAAGUUGAGCGAUGAAGAUUGGUGCUUGCACCAAUUUGAAGAGCAGCGAACGGGUGAGUAACGCGUGGGGAAUCUGCCUUUGAGCGGGGGACAACAUUUGGAAACGAAUGCUAAUACCGCAUAACAACAUUAAACAUAAGUUUUAAGUUUGAAAGAUGCAAUUGCAUCACUCAAAGAUGAUCCCGCGUUGUAUUAGCUAGUUGGUGAGGUAAAGGCUCACCAAGGCGAUGAUACAUAGCCGACCUGAGAGGGUGAUCGGCCACAUUGGGACUGAGACACGGCCCAAACUCCUACGGGAGGCAGCAGUAGGGAAUCUUCGGCAAUGGACGAAAGUCUGACCGAGCAACGCCGCGUGAGUGAAGAAGGUUUUCGGAUCGUAAAACUCUGUUGGUAGAGAAGAACGUUGGUGAGAGUGGAAAGCUCAUCAAGUGACGGUAACUACCCAGAAAGGGACGGCUAACUACGUG
rnacentral:rRNA from 1 species